rnacentral:rRNA from 1 species
GUGAAGUCGGAAUCGCUAGUAAUCGUGAAUCAGAACGUCACGGUGAAUACGUUCCCGGGCCUUGUACACACCGCCCGUCACACCAUGGGAGUGGGUUGCUCCAGAAGUAGCUAGUCUAACCUUCGGGGGGACGGUUACCACGGAGUGAUUCAUGACUGGGGUGAAGUCGUAACAAGGUAGCCGUAGGGGAACCUGCGGCUGGAUCACCUCCUUAAUCGAAGAU